CCUCCAUUUCAAAUUACUUGUCGUUCUAGCUUUGCCACUAGUCAAACAUUUCUAUUUUUCACCAUCCAUUUUUGGAAAUUCGUGUAGGUUAACAUGCAAUAUAUAUUAUGGAAGUAUUUCUCAUGGUGAAUCUAAAAACAUAAACCUUAUGAUGUUAAACUAUAUGAAUUUCUACAAGUUGAUGUUCAUAUAAACAUUUGAUUUAGGACAAAGCUAGAACGGCAAGCAAUUUGAAAUGAGGGGA
rnacentral:pre_miRNA from 1 species